AGAGGGAGGGGAGAGACAGAAAGAGGAGAGAAACUUCUGGGCUUUCAUUUAACAUGUGCACUCUGCCUUCUCUCUUGUCCCCUCUGCAGUCCUUUUCCUCCCAGCUGUCACAGUGCCACCUCCUCUGGCCAGUCCUGUCUGGACACCCUGUCUGACCUUGAACUAUCUCUCAAUCCUUCCGGGUAUUGCCUCAGCCAGCCAGGGAGAGCCUGGUCCUGGCAGAGGCUGUGUUGAAAAUAAUUCACUCUGAAAGCUAGGCUUGUUCUCUUCAAAGGGUGAAGCAAGCUAGACAGAAGGGAUGAGGGAGUUCCCCCCAGCCCCCACCCCCUCACAAGCCCUCUCUUGGAACCUACACUUCCCCCUCCCCGGGAUGACCUCUGUCCUUGAUGAAAUGGGAGAAACAGAACAGCAAGGCUUGUUUCCUUUCCAAAUGAAAAGAUGGACACCCUGAAGUGCAUUUUAAUCACUCUCUGGCAAGUGUGGGGUGACUGGGGGAGGGGAGGAGGCUGACUUGCCCUUUCUCUGCCAGUUCUCUGGGAACCUAGCCCAUCCGUAUUUCUCCAUAAAACUUGAAGGGCAGUGUAUCAUUGUGGGAGAGAUACUGCAGUUUCCCCAGACAGAAACCUAUCCCUUCUUAAGGGUCUUCAUUUACAAGGAGUGAGGAAGAAACCUUCUUCAUGGGCAUUUUCACCAGGUGUCUGACACACAAGAGUGACAGGCCUGUUCCUAAAGUUGGCUGAAACUCCUGCCACUGCAGCCCUCAGGAAGGGGGGACAAGGAUAGCGGCAGGGAGCACAUCGGCCACAUGAUCCUUCCCAGUCACAAGGGGAGAAACCCCAAACACUCUGCUCUCCGAGUCCAUUCCUGAACCUGGCUCAGGCCCCGACUCAGAAUAGACUCCCUGGCUCCUGGCCAACUGUCCUGCUGUGGUCUCCAGAUAAGGCAUCACAUGUUGCACACCCUGGGUCAACGCCUAGCAGAUGAUGUGCUGGGAACCAUAUGAGUGUUUUAAAGUUUCAGAAAAAUUCACGUUGCAAAAGGCUUUCUCAGAAAGGCUCUGUCCACUUGCAGUGGGUAUGGCAGCCUGUCAUACUUUUCAAGGUGUUUCUCAGCCAAGCUUCACUACAGCCCAAUAGGAUCAGUGGGGCCGAUAUGAUGAUUCAUAUUUUGGAAGCUGGAAGAACUGAAGUGCAAAGAGGUUACAAAAGGGACCUCCAGGCAUGGCCAUGGACCACGUGCCAUCCAGAUGAAUGUGAAUGAAGCGUUUGAAAUUAGUGUGUAACUCUCCUCAUCCCCUUCCUCGUGGUGUAGUCUUUGUGGAAGCCUAGGCUGAGAUGGAGCCUCUGUUCAGGGCUCCUCUGAUGAGGGGUAUGCCUCUGCCAACCUAUGGCGAAGGUGGUGUGAACAGGAGCUAGAUCUUAAUUUGUUUAACCCAUUAAUAGGUCAGAGCUUUGUUAUCAUAGCAAAACCUAGCUUAUCCUAACCUUAGACAUUUAUAAAAAUAAAUCAAUCUUUUAAGUGGAA